AAGAAAACCCCUUGGCGGUUUAAUACCCCGUGGAGGGAAGGGACAUUCACCCCACAGGAAGAAAGCCUCCGGUCUUAACUUCGGUUUCCAGCAGACCGCCGAUAAAUACGGAAGGGGUGCGAGCCGUUAAUUCGGAAAUUACUGGGGCGUAAAAGCCGCGCGUAGGUUGCCUUGAUAACCCCGGUUUGGAAAAGCCCCGGGGCUCAACCCGGGGAAACGGCAUCCGGGAACUUUUCAGGUCUAGAGUUCCAGGAGAGGAAAGGUAGAAUUCCCCGGUGUAGCGGUGAAAUGCGUAGAGAUCGGGAGGAAUACCAGUGGCGAAGGCGGCCUUCUGGACUGACACUGACACUGAGGUGCGAAAGCGUGGGUAGCAAACAGGAUUAGAUACCCUGGUAGUCCACGCCGUAAACGAUGUCGACUAGCCGUUGGGUCCUUCGCGGACUUUGUGGCGCAGUUAACGCGAUAAGUCGACCGCCUGGGGAGUACGGCCGCAAGGUUAAAACUCAAAUGAAUUGACGGGGGCCCGCACAAGCGGUGGAGCAUGUGGUUUAAUUCGAUGCAACGCGAAGAACCUUACCUACCCUUGACAUCCUGCGAACCCUUCGGAGACGAAGGGGUGCCUUCGGGAACGCAGAGACAGGUGCUGCAUGGCUGUCGUCAGCUCGUGUUGUGAAAUGUUGGGUUAAGUCCCGUAACGAGCGCAACCCUUGUCCCUAUUUGCCAGCGAUUCGGUCGGGAACUCUAGGGAGACUGCCGGUGACAAACCGGAGGAAGGUGGGGACGACGUCAAGUCAUCAUGGCCCUUACGGGUAGGGCUACACACGUGCUACAAUGGUCGGUACAAAGGGUUGCGAACUUGCGAAAGUGAGCUAAUCCCAGAAAGCUGAUCUCAGUCCGGAUCGGAGUCUGCAACUCGACUCCGUGAAGUCGGAAUCGCUAGUAAUCGUGAAUCAGAAUGUCACGGUGAAUACGUUCCCGGGCCUUGUACACACCGCCCGUCACACCAUGGGAUGUGGACUGCACCA
rnacentral:rRNA from 1 species